rnacentral:piRNA from 1 species
UCACACUGAUCCACUGGACUGAGAUUUGC